rnacentral:rRNA from 1 species
GACGAACGCUGGCGGCGUGCCUAAUACAUGCAAGUCGAGCGGACAGAAGGGAGCUUGCUCCCGGAUGUUAGCGGCGGACGGGUGAGUAACACGUGGGUAACCUGCCUGUAAGACUGGGAUAACUCCGGGAAACCGGAGCUAAUACCGGAUAGUUCCUUGAACCGCAUGGUUCAAGGAUGAAAGACGGUUUCGGCUGUCACUUACAGAGGGACCCGCGGCGCAUUAGCUAGUUGGUGGGGUAACGGCUCACCAAGGCGACGAUGCGUAGCCGACCUGAGAGGGUGAUCGGCCACACUGGGAAUGAGACACGGCCCAGACUCCUACGGGAGGCAGCAGUAGGGAAUCUUCCGCAAUGGACGAAAGUCUGACGGAGCAACGCCGCGUGAGUGAUGAAGGUUUUCGGAUCGUAAAGCUCUGUUGUUAGGGAAGAACAAGUGCAAGAGUAACUGCUUGCACCUUGACGGUACCUAACCAGAAAGCCACGGCUAACUACGUGCCAGCCGCCGCCGUAA